ensembl:snoRNA
AUGCUUUUGUAGUCCGUAGGUGUGACGAUUGGACCUUCACACUCAUGGGUGAGAUGCGCCUCUCUCCAGCCUUGUUAGGAUCUUGGGACAUGACCCAUCUAACA